CACACAUAAAACAAGGUUAUGUGUUGAUUGCUUGACAAAAGUGUUGCAACCAGAGGUUUACAGAAUCUAACUCUGUAUUUCCCCUGUGAACAAUGUUCAGUGUUCACUAAUUCAUCAUUUUCAACAACUUUACAGAGCAUAACUAUCAUGACUAAAAAGAAUCAGCUGAGACAGACACAGUGGCUCACACCUGUAAUCCCAGCAUUUUGGGAGGAUGAGGUGGGAUGACUGCCUGAGUCCAGGAGUUCAAAAUCAGCCUGGGCAACAUAGUGAAACCCCAUCUCUAAUUUUUUUUUAAAAAGUAAAAAAAAAAAAACCAACAAAAAAACUGUAUGUUAUAAACUCCACAAUAUAUUACUAUUUUUGCUUUAAAAUAUUCAAUUAUCUUUAAAAGAGAUCUUUUAAAAACAUCUUUUAUAUUUACCCACAUAUUUUUUAUUUGCAGGCAUGUUCCCAUCUACGUCUUUGCACUUGUUUCUACCUCUGUCUGGAAUUCUCUUGCUCCAGCAAGCCAUGUGAUCAGUUCUCCACAUUCUCUUUAGGUCUCUAUUCAAAAGUUACUUUUUCAGUUAGACCUUCCAUGGCUACUUUAUCUAAAUAGCUAUAUAUCUUCACAUCUAUUUCCUUAUUUAACUAUCAAUGUCCUUAUUUAAUUCUCAACUAUUAAUUAUCCUUAUUUUACAAAUGAGGCAAGUGGAAGUCAGAGGGAUGAAGUGAAUUGCCCGAGGUCACACUGCUAGUAAAUGGUAAAGCACGUAGAUUGUCUCCAGAAACUUCUCAAUAUAUUUACCUUAUGUACAUGAUAUUUAGCCUAUAUAAACAUUUACAUAUAUUUAUCAUGUGUAUACACACACCUAUAGAUAUAUCCCAUCUUCAAGCUAUAUUUCAUCAUAGCUGUUUCUAAGUCCUCCAUGAUUGAUGCAACUGGUAGAGACUUGGAAGUAAGAUGAUGCACUGACCCAGCUAGCAUUUACUGGGCAUCUGCUAGUAGGUGCUAGGCAUUGUGAUGAAUGCUAAGGAUAUAGAGAUGAAAGAUGCAGUUGCUGUCAUCAAUGUCCUCACAGUUGGGAAUAGGGAGAAGACAGACACUUAGAAGUUCCAUGGAGAAAGAACUAGGUAGGACCCAAUGGAUAAAAAAUACUGAAUGAAGAUUCUAAUCCAACACAAGAAAGUUUCUAAUGGUCAAAGCUGUCUGAAAAUGAAAUGGGUUAGAGGGUGGAGUUCCUCUCACAGGAGUUGUCCCAGCAAAAGUAUGGUGACAGUUGAGCUGGCUGUUAUAGAAGGGAUUGACUUAAACAUAACAUGGCUGAUCAGGAGCCAGGUAACCAAUGUGAGCUAGGGUUUUUAAAGACACUUUUCAACAAAGCGACUAUUUGCAGAGAUGUGUGUAGGGCUAAUGGAACUAACAAGAAUUUUGAUGCACCCAGGGGACUAGCAGAAACUAGAAGGCAUUUCCACUUCAUGCCUGAAGGCACAGGGGGAGUCUGAUUAAAAGCCAGAGCCUAGGAAAAUAGGCUCUCAAAGAGAAAAAGAAUUUCUAGAGAAGCAGCAACUGCCAGAACUGGAACAAUAUAACAUUCCCAGAAACAAUAUACCUGCAGUUCUCUAUCCUUAGGUUGUUCGGUUAUUUGCAGUGCCACUUAUUCACCAAAUGCAAAUGGAAGCCAGAGGCAAGCGCCUGCCAGUGACGCAGUUGAUAAAGGAACUAAUACUGUCCACAAAGACUCUACAAAUGAACAAUCGGGAAGCGAACCUCAACUGUGGGGUGAGUGGCGCUUGGAGAAAAUUGGAGCUGAGUGGAUAAUCCGGCUAUGCCCUUCCCACGUCUCUUUCCCACGCAGCGUCACCGUCGUGCUCUCCAGUGCACACCACCAGCCAUCCCUGCCCUGGCGCCCGGACGAAGCUCACGGGCUGGGGAGCCUCUUUCCUGCGCCGGUGAUCAAGGGCGUCCCAGCCCACUGAGGGCCAGGAGGCGAGGCUUGGGCACACGUCCCUUCCCGCCCGGACGCUGGUGCCCGCGAGGUCCUCUUGGCCCUGCUGGGAGCGCAGGGGUCGCGGCAACCAUUCAGAACCCCGGCUGCCAGACAAGCGAGGCUUUCCACGUGGGCAGAGGCGACGUUGUUCAGGUGGCAAGGAUCCAAGGCUGAGCCUUCCUCCCUCUGCGUCCACCCACCGCCCCUCCCCACCCCCGACCUAGAAAAGGACACGCACACAAAAAACUUUCGCCACACUAUUAAUAUAUUCGCGUUUCCUCCCACUUUCCCAAUGGGCUACCAGCUGCAGAACUCCUGAAUAGAAAGCUUAAUUGUGCUUUGUCAUGCAGAGUACCUCGAUUUUCUAUAGAAGGUUACAAAGGGCCAUUUGAAGUAUUUCUUUCUCGCCUAAUAGUGAACCAUUUGCAUACGGCACCUCUGCGCCUGCCAGACCCAGGUAGCUGUGCCGAAGCUCCGGGGGCCCCGGAGUAACAAAACCCAGGGCGGUUUCCAAAGGGCGCCCUACCCCGCCUCUCGCCCAGCGUUUGGACUUUUCUCUCCAAUUCCCUCGGGUCACGGCCCGCCCUAGGCAGCUGAUUUGGAGGACGCGAAAUAUGGCCUGCAGGCCGCGGGUGCCCAGCCGGUCCGUCUGAUAUCUUGGAGGCCUCGGGCCAUCCAGGCCCUUCUAGCCUGGACCCGAGCCUUUUUUAGGCCGGGUCUACCGAACCCAGGUGGUGUUUUUCAUCUACUAUCUGCAGGUCCAGAGACCAGGCCUUUGCCCACGCGGGGUCCUCCACCCACUUGCUUCUCACGUAAGGCCCAAGUGAGGCGCUGAAGAACUGGAAGGUGAUUAUGAUUUCGAUACCACGCUGUUCGUUUCUCCUGGUUGAUUGACAGGGCUGCGUUCAGAAUAUCUUUUCUUGUUGCUUGUUUUGACAGUUCAAAUCCAGGUCUGUGUGACAUAUAAAGCUAAUAAAAUUCUAAUUUCAUUGUUAAUCUUAUUUCAUUGCAGUAUAGGUUUUUACCCUCACACCUGCAUGGCAGGGUGUAAUUCCAUUAAUAAAAAAAAUCAACAUAUUCAUUGCAUGUCUUUUCCCUGAUGAUAUAUUGUGAGCAGUGUGAGUUGAGAAAGAGCCAUUUAUUCCCACCGUGAAUGAGCCUGCAUGGGGCGGGAGCUUCACCUGCCCCUCAGUCAAUUAGGAAUGUAUCGAAAAGUCUAGCAGAAAACGAGUUAAAUUAACCGUUGGCUAAUUUCCUUAUGUCCCUCCUACAUAAUCCCCCCUUUUCAGCUUGCCCCAGAAAUUACCACAUGUUGCAAGGUUCAAAUAGUGCCUAAUGAAACAGUGACU
rnacentral:lncRNA from 10 species